rnacentral:lncRNA from 1 species
AAAAUCUAUAAUGCAAUUGUUCUGAGGAGUAUGGAUGUAAAAAUUCUUAAUAAAAAUGCUUAACCAAAUCCAAAUAUACAUCUUAAAAGAUCACAUACUAAUACAAAAGUUGCUUCAUUCCAGAGAUAAAAGGAUAAUUCAACAUAUAUAAGGCAGUAAAUGUAACAAACAUGCACACAUAUGAAACAUAGAUCAAAGGACAGAAAUUGCAUGAUCAUUGUAAUAAAUACAGAAAACAGCCUUAGAAUAAUGAAUAACUGUUCAUGAGAAAAUACUCCAAGUAAACUAUUUAUGGAUAAAAAGACAAUACCUUGAUAUAAUAAAGGCCAUAAACAUAAAAUUAUAGCAAACGUCAUUCUCAAUGGGAAAAGAACUGACAGCAUCACUUACAAAGUUGGGAAAUAAGUAUAUCUCGUCUCUCCACUUGUCAAUAUAAUGCUUAAAUUAUUCACCUAGGUAAUAAAGCAAUGGAAAUACAGGGUACAUUAAGUGAAAUAAUUCAAUCCAUUCCUAUUACAGACAAUAUGGACCUACACUCACUGGGCACUAAAAUUCUCCUCAGACAGGAAAACCAACUGAUCUGAUAAAUGCUCCUAGGAAAAUAGCAAGAUAUAAAGUCAACACAAAAAGGUAUGACAACAACUUUUCUAUAUUUGCAUAAUGAACAUUCUGAGCAUAAAACUGGUCACAUUUACAGGAAUGUCAAAACAUAACCACUAGAAAUAAAUCUCACCAAGAAGGUAAAUGAUCUCAACAAUGAAAACCUUAAAACACUUCCAAAAGAAUUCAAAGACACGUGGUUUGUAAAUUGUUAUUUUGGGUAUUCUGAGUUUCUGGGCUAAUAUUCACUUAUCAGUGAGUGCAUAUCAUGGAUGUUCUUUUAUGAUUGGGCUAUCUCACUCAGAAUGAUAUCCUCCAGAUCCAUCCAUUUGCCUAAGAAUUUCAUAAAUGUAUCGUUUUUAAUAGCUGAGUAGUACAUUUUCUGUAUCCAUUCCUCUGUUGAGGGACAUUUAGGUUCUUUCCAGCUUCUGGCUAUUAUAAAUAAGGCUAUGAAUAUAGUGGAGCAUGUGUCCUUAUGACACGUUGGAGCAUCUUCUGGGCGCUCAGUAUUACUGGGUUCUCAGGUCCUAUGUCCAAUUUUCUGAGAAACCACCAAACUAAUGAAACUCAAGAACAAAGAACAAAGUGUGGAUACUUUAAUCCUUCUUAGAAGGGGGAACAAAACACCCAUGAAGGGACUUACAGAGACAACAUGUGGAGCAGAGACUGAGGGAAUGACCAUACAGAGUCGCACCUGAGGAUCCAUCCCAUAUACAGCCACCAAACUCAGACACUAUUGUGGAUGCCAACAACUGCUUGCUGACAGGAGCCUGAUAUAGCUGUCUCCUGAGAGGCUCUGCCAGUACCUGACAAAUACAAAAGUGGAUGCUCACAGCCAUCCAUGGGACCGAGCACAGGGUACCCAAUGAAGGAGCUAGAGAAAGGACCCAAAGAGUUGAGGGGGUUUGCAGCCCCAUAGGAUAAACAACAAUAUUAAUUAACCAGUACUCCCAGAGCUCCCAGAAACUAAACCACCAACCAAAGAGUACACAUGGUGGGACUCAUGGCUCCAGCUGCAUAUAUAGCAGAGGAUGUCCUAGUUGGACAUCAAUGGGAGAAGAGGCCCUUGGUCCUGUGAAGGCUCUAUGCCCCAGUGUAGGGGAAUGUCAGGGCCAGGAAGCAAGAGUGGGUGGGUUGGUGUAAAGGGGGAGCAGGAAGGUGAGGGGGAGGGUGUUUUGGAGGGGAAAACAGGAAAGGGGAUAACACUUGAAAUGUAAAUAAAGAAAAUAUCCAAUAAAGUCAAAGUCAAAAAAAAAAAAAAGAAAGAAAGAAAGAAAAGAAAAGAAACGAUUAAAAAAAAAAAAAAAGACACCGGAAGACAGAUUGGUAGAGUUAAUAAUGUAAACAUAGCUCUGCAAAUUAAAGUGAUUCACAUUUUCAAUAUAAUCCCUAUUACAAUUCUGGAAAUUGUUGGAAGAAUUAUUUUAAAGUUUAAAAACAACACUGAGUACAAAAACCUAUGAAUAACCAAAGCAAUCCUAAGCACAAACAGCAAAGUUGGUAUUGUCACAGUAUGUAACUUCAAACAUAGUAUAGAGCCAUUCUGAUAAAACAACAUGAUACUUAACACAAAACAGACACAUGAACAAAUAUACUAAAUUAUACUAAAUAAAACAAAACAUAUAAUCCCAUGCUGUUGUGCCCAACUAUUUUUUUGUUUUUUUUUUUUUUACAUGAGUCUCAAAAUUAUACAUUCAGGGGAAAACAUCUUUAAUAAAUGGUGCUAAGACAACUUAACAUAUAUGUACAAGAAUUAAACUAGGGCUGAAGAGGGCUUAGCAGUUAAGAACAUUGAGGGCUCUUCCAGAAGUAAUCGGUUCAAUUCCCAGAACCCAUGUAACAACUCACAACCAUCUGUAACUCCAUUUCCCAGGGUUCAGAUACCUCUGCAGGCUUCCUUGGGAAGCCAGGUAGCCAAGUGAUACACAGAUAUACAUGGUCACAAAACACUCAUACAUACAAUAAUAAAAAAAUUAAAAAAGGAUAAACUAAAUUCUUCUCUCUUACCCUGCAUAAAAAUCCACUGAAAACAGAUUAAAGGCUUUAUUUAAUAAAGGCUUUAUUUAAUGUAUGACCCAAAGAAUUGAAGUGGACUACAUAGAAGCACUUCAAGAUAUAGAAAGGCAAGGACUUUCUGAAAGUAGGUCAGAAAAUGUUAGGAGGAAUUUACAAAAUAGGAUUAGAUUACAUUAAAAGUUUCUGCACAGCAAAAGAGACAAAGCUGUAGAGAUUGCUCAGCUGUUUCAGUUACUUACUCACAUAAGAACUAAGUUUGGCUCCACAUGGUAGCACAGUUACCUCUAACUCCACUUCCAGGCAAUCUGUUGCCCCCAGUUCUCUGCGCACACAUGGUACACAUAGCCUCAUAAAGGCUCCAGAC